AUCAACCUGUCUUCCUCCAGAAUGGCAUUCGGUUUAUUGCACACACACUUAUGCAGCCUCUCCCCAUCUUCCUACACAAGCUAUUAAUAAAGAACAAUGUCAGAAACGUUUGAAACUAGACGCAGCCCAAUUUAAUUUCUAUCCAUUCUAAUUGUAUCUUUUAAUCUUUGAUCAGCUCUUCACACUUGAGCUUGUUACUUUGAGCCUCAAGGUACGUCAGUCAUGAUUAUAUGACCAACUGUCUGUUUUCCUCCUUCUGUUCACCACUUAAAGGUGCAAUCCUGAAUUCAAAUGCAAUAGAUCAGCAUACAAGUCACAUACUGUAUGCAAUAUACUAUUUCAGCCAAUCAGCACUUUCCUGUCCUCCUUUUCUGUGAACUAGCCAACAGUGACAAAUGGUUAGAUAUUUCUUUUAGAUAAAAAAAAAGACAGACAGAAAAAUAUAAGUUCUCAUGCAGCUUGUAAUUGCAAAAUGAUCUUUCAUCUUGAACAAUGAGCCUUCAUUUUGUGUUCAAGAUGUUCCAGGUCCAUACAACCAGAAAAGUAAUCUUCCUUUUAUCCAUGCUGGUUUGUCCUUCAGGUGAGAAAAUGCACGAUUGCAUGAGGUGCAUGAUAAAAAUAAAGAUGAAAAGAUGAUCACCAAUUAAAAUUCCACCAAAACAUGUUUUUGUGUCUAUUCAUGCUUCAUAUGUGUGUGAUUCAAGUGUCUGAUAGACAAUUUCUAACCCCAGACCUCACUGGAUGUCAACCUGGCCGCCCUGGCAACCCUGGUUCUUCUGGAUCUCAUGGCCCGCCUGGACCUCGUGGCGGCAAUGGACCUCGUGGCGGCAAUGGACCACCUGGCCCCCCUGGCCCCACUGCCCUCCCUGGAAAACCGGGCCUACCUGGUCCACCUGGCCCCCGUGGACCUCCCGGCCCCCCCGGACCACCUAGCAUGACUGGAUCAUCUGGCCGUGAUGGACCUACUGGUCCCCAGCAAUCUGCACCUGCUCUGAAGGAGCGCUUUGCAAUUGAGGAACAACAGCGAGAACAUCAUUUUGACAGACGUCCAGCGCAGCCGGCAACCCAAUAACAAGGGCGUUGAUUGGCUGAUCCCUGCUUUGCAAACAAGUGCCUUAACCAUCGUGUAAUACAAAAAACACUUCACUUCAUCACAGAUAUAUUCAUUCAUCUGGCGACUUUUUAAAUAUUUUGACUUUGAAUUUACUCUCCUGAAAAUUAACUCUGUUUUCAAUAUCAUAAAUAUUCUCAUGUAAUCUGCUUUCCCAUCAAAUCUAUACUCAUGCACUCAUGUUUUACCAUUUAUUUUAAAGCAUCAAAUAAAGCAAAUAAAAAAAAAUAUUUUGACUUUGAA
rnacentral:lncRNA from 1 species